rnacentral:rRNA from 1 species
UCUGGACCCCAAUCCAGGAAGAAUACCCGCUGAACUUUAGCCUAUCCAUAAGCCGAAGAA